rnacentral:rRNA from 1 species
UACGAAGGGGGCUAGCGUUGUUCGGAAUUACUGGGCGUAAAGCGCGCGCAGGCGGUCUUCCAAGUCAGUGGUGAAAGCCCGGAGCUCAACUCCGGAACUGCCAUUGAAACUGUGAGACUUGAGUACGAGAGAGGUGAGUGGAAUUCCCAGCGUAGAGGUGAAAUUCGUAGAUAUUGGGAAGAACACCGGUGGCGAAGGCGGCUCACUGGCUCGUAACUGACGCUCAGGCGCGACAGCGUGGGGAUCAAACAGG